GACCCCUUAGCUCAGUGGUAGAGCGUGUGAUUCCAGUCCGAAUUUAAAGAGAUGUUUUCGAAUCCACAAGGUCGUGCGUUCAACUCGCUCAGGGGUCA